UGGGGAAUAUUGCACAAUGGGCGCAAGCCUGAUGCAGCCAUGCCGCGUGUGUGAAGAAGGCCUUCGGGUUGUAAAGCACUUUCAGCGAGGAGGAAGGUGGUGAACUUAAUGCGUCAUCAAUUGACGUUACUCGCAGAAGAAGCACCGGCUAACUCCGUGCCAGCAGCCGCGGUAAUACGGAGGGUGCAAGCGUUAAUCGGAAUUACUGGGCGUAAAGCGCACGCAGGCGGUUUGUUAAGUCAGAUGUGAAAUCCCCGGGCUCAACCUGGGAACUGCAUUUGAAACUGGCAAGCUAGAGUCUCGUAGAGGGGGGUAGAAUUCCAGGUGUAGCGGUGAAAUGCGUAGAGAUCUGGAGGAAUACCGGUGGCGAAGGCGGCCCCCUGGACGAAGACUGACGCUCAGGUGCGAAAGCGUGGGGAGCAAACAGGAUUAGAUACCCCUGGUAGUCCACGCUGUAAACGAUGUCGAUUUGCGGU
rnacentral:rRNA from 1 species